rnacentral:rRNA from 1 species
UACGUAGGGUGCGAGCGUUAAUCGGAAUUACUGGGCGUAAAGCGUGCGCAGGCGGUUCGUCGUGUCCGAUGUGAAAGCCCCGGGCUCAACCUGGGAAUGGCAUUGGAAACUGGCGGACUCGAGUGUGGCAGAGGGGGGGGUGGAAUUCCGCGUGUAGCAGUGAAAUGCGUAGAGAUGCGGAGGAACACCGAUGGCGAAGGCAGCCCCCUGGGCUAACACCUGGACGCUCAGGCACGAAAGCGUGGGGAGCAAACGAGG